rnacentral:lncRNA from 1 species
GAUUUAGAAUACAGGAGCACAAGGAUCAAGCAGAUCUGGCCAAGCUGGAAAAYAGAAGAGAAGGGGAACGAAUACAGCAAUUGAGCCAAUUGUACCAACUGGAAACUCAGAGAGAAAAAGAAAAGGAACAGGAGAAAAAARCUGAAUUCCAGAGGCAGCAUCAUGAAUAUGUAGCUGAACAAAAAGUAUUUAAAGCUGAAGAGAAACAAAAAGAAGACAAAGAUGAUGAUCGGAUUAAGGCUUAUAUUAAAGGAAAAGAAAUGAUGGCUGAUCUGACAAGAGAAAAAUAUGCAGAGAGUAACAGGAUGAUACAGAAGCAUAAGGACAAGGCUUUUGAUCAAUUAACUGCACAGAUCAAUGAGAAAUUUAAGAUUGAAGAUGAUCGUCUUGYUAGAGGAGCUGCAGAGGUAGAAGUUGAGUACCAAAUGCAAAACAAAGAGAAAGAAAUGAGAAAAAAGGCUGCUAUUGAAUCUAUUGAAGAAAACAGAGUCACUGUGAUGAAGUUGAAAGAGGAAAAGGAGAGACAGGAGAAAGAAGAGGGUGAGAAGGAUCGUAAUCAGUGGAUGACAGARAAUGACAUCUACUUGGAAAUGGAAAAAGCCAAGAAACAAAGACAGCGUGAUGCAAACAUGGAAGUACAGAAAAUUCAGCUCCAGCAAAUGGCUGAAAAGCAGGCAAGAAAAGAGCAGGAAAAGCAAGCAGACUUGGACUGCGAUGCUCAGAGAGAAGCUGCUUUUCCUUGGGAUYGAGCAUCUCGGAGAUAAAGACAAAAUAUGUUUGACCACUGCAGAAGCAUCUACAAAGAAGCAAGAAGCUAGCCACUCUCUCCUUCMAAGUUCUGUGUGCCUGCAAAACCAAUCAGUGCCCAACAGCAGAAGCUAACUGAGGACCAAGUUAAAAGACMUGCCAUUUGCUAGAACCUGCCUAUAACUCAAGCUCAAGAAACAAGUGCCAUAGCUUGCAACUGUACUGUAACUAGUCUAAUUUUAUUAUGGAACAAAGCAGUAUAUUUUUUUCAGAAAGUCAAGAACCAACAACCAAAGAUAAACUAUCAGUUCAUCUGUACUGUACUCCUURAAUAUUGCUGGGCCUCCAGGCUUAAUUCAAAUCUUUUGUUUUKACUUGAAAAAUAAAAAAAUCUUACUGAGCAAAUAAAAUUGAGUACAUCU